rnacentral:tRNA from 1 species
GGGCGGUUGGCGCAGGGGCUAGCGCACUUCCCUGACACGGAAGGGGUCACAGGUUCAAAUCCUGUAUCGCCCACAA